rnacentral:lncRNA from 1 species
CAGGCUCAGAAGGUAGAGGCAGGCAGAUCUCUAAGUCUGAGGUCAGCCUGGUCUACAGAGUAAGUUUCAGGACAGGCAGGCCUACACAGAGGAACUCUGUCCUCGGGUUUGGGGGAGAGGAAUGCCUUAAGAAUUUGUGUGUCAUUUUUGUGCAGGGGCCCUGCUAAUCUUCUCUGUAACAUUUUUAUUUAUUUGGGCAUGGGGGUGGGAGGUCCUGUCUCCACACGCAUGCCAUAGAACAGUGUGUGAGACUUCUCUCCUUCUGCCAUGCGGGUCUCUGGGAUGGAGCUCAGGUCGUCAGACUUAGCAACAAGCACCUUUACCCACUGGCCGUCUUUUUUUCUUUUUCUUUUUUAACAUUUGAAGAAACAGGCCUGAAAAGUGAUUAGGCCGGGACCUUUCAGACCAGUCUUUCCUUGGGAGAAUUUAUUAUUUCCUUGAAGAACAUAGAGAGGGCAACCUCAGAAGUCUCUCUGGCAGAACUCUCCUGCUACGGCUUCUAGCAGAUGUAUACUGUCUCCCUGAGUUCCACAGAAGUCAAGAUGAUGCUUCCUGGUCAUGCUUAGCUCAAGGAUCUUUCCUGGGAGCAGCCUAAGUCACCCUCAUACUGAAUUGUAAUUGUCAGCAUCUUGUCUGCCCCUAGCUAGACUGUUGGCUGUGUAAAGACAAGGGACCAUACCUGUCAUAUCACCAAUAUAAAUCUAGUGUCCAGUCCAGUGCUUGGAAAAUAGUAGGUCUUCAGUAAAUAUUUAUUGAAUGACUAAGAAGGAAGGGUUAGUCAGAAAAGGAGUCCAAAAGAAGAAGAAGAAGAAGAAGAAGAAGAAGAAGAAGAAGAAGAAGAAGAAGAAGAAGACGACGACGACGACUGAGUUAUCAAAACUCACAAGAAGAGCUGGCUAUGAUGGCGGAAGCCAGAACCCAGCUACUUGAUAGGAUGAGACAAGAGGUUUCCAAGUUCAGGGCCUGCUUGGGCUAGAGUGAGUUCAAGGCUAUCUCGGGCAACUUUAGGGAGAAUCUUUUUCAAUUUUUAGAGAGGAAGAAGAGGGCUAGGGAUUUGGCUCAGUGGUAAAGUGUUGCCUAGCACUGAGAGACUAGGUUCAGGUUCAGUCGCCAGCAAUACAAACAAGCCACUCUCAGAACUCUGAAAGGAUGAGAUACCGGCCUUUCUAAACCCUUGGCUUUUGCUCCCCGCAGGCUUCUGCAAAGAGAGUCCCAGCCUUGCCAGGAGGCGGAAGUGACUGAGCUGCUAGAUCCUUCAAAGUGGAGACAUCCAGAAGACAGACAACUUGGCCAGCGGGAAAUGAAGGUGAAGAGAAACUGAGGAGAUUGGAAUCUAGUGCUGAAUUUGCAUUCGAUGCCGAGCCUAGGAGGUCAGAGAAGACCUAGGGCACAAAAGAGGAAGUAGCAAAGGGGAGGUUCUUCCUUCUGAUCCCCUCUAUUAGGUGGAGGACCUCGGAGGAGAGACCUCCGCCUUCUGCUCUGUAGCGCUGCACUUGAGUGCCAUAAGGCGAACCCUACCGUGCAGAUCUGGAAACGGCUGAAACCGCCCGAUGAGCGGGGAUUGCAGGGCAAAGAUUGUGGGGGACUUCUUCCAUAUCUCGGAGGCGUUCUCUAGCCAGUCUACAUCUCCAGCGAGGAUACUUUAUUUUAGCAAGUGGGUGUUAAGCCAGACAUAACCACUAGGGGACAGUAAAAACAACCCUUAAGGUCAGUAUUCCUCCAAGACCCCACCUACUCUCACCUGAGGCCAAGAUGGGCAGUGCCUCACCUGGCUUUCACCUAGCGCUCUGUUAACCACUUCCUGCCUAAUCUGAAGUACCUCCCCGAGAUGGAGUCGUUCUUAGUAGAACUGGGGGCCAAUUUUGAUCGGAGGGAGGGUGUCCAGUCCGGGGGUGGGAGUGAAGUCAUGGUUUCCAGAAACUCAGACCCUUGUCCUUGUCCUAGCUGGAGAGGCUAUAGAGUUCUCUGGUUCAGAUGAGUAGGUCUCUUUUCUAAGCAGUGAAAGCCAAGUGGGGUGGUCACUGCGCUGGAACCCCUGGGACAAGCUUUAGUGGAGACUGUUCACGUAGCUUCAAAAUCCAGACUUCCGCCUCCCUGCAGCCAUUUAUCUGUCAAGGGCUUCAGCCAGAGGGAGGGAGGAAGGUAGCCCACCAGUGAAGGGAAGACGACAGGAUGGGAGCAGGAGGUAGGCAGUUAAGACAGGGUUCGAAAGCGGAUGGCUUUCGGCAGCUUUCAGGUACCCGCUUUGCGUGUCGUUUCUCCUGUUACUGGCAGCCUUUCAGGGAUCAGAUCAGCCGAAGUUCCGGGAUUGCGUUCCGGGCCUUAACGAGUUAAACUGUGGGAGUGGGGUCCGGAGUCCCUCCCUCCCUCCUUCGCGAAUCAAGUGUCACCACUUCCAAGUCCAUCAGACUGGCACGCUAGGAGUUAAGUCUGCCCGCAAUCCGCAAGACUGGAGCCGUAGAGGGGGGAGGAGGGGGGAGGGGGAAAGCAAGGAGCUGGGGGAAGCAGACUGCAGGGAGACAGCGCCUGGAACCCCCUCCCCAGGGACCUGGCCCUGGGCCCCCAGCCCCAAAAGGGGCCCUGCCCUCCCCGGGGUCGCGCUCUCUUCCCCCCCCCCGCCCUGCCCCCGCCCUUCAGCUUUGUGUCCCCAGGAGGGUGGGCUGCAAGAUUUCCAGCCAAGCCUUGGCUGCCUGCUCAGUUUUUCCAAACCCUCCAGUCGGAGAAGGCGGGAGCCUUGUCAGGAUAAGAGUCCCUCCCCCCUCUGCCCCUGCCGGCCCCCUGGUCCAGCUUGGAGUUUCCUGUCCUCGCAGCUUUCCAAACUCCUUUCCCUUUCCGACCCUGGCCCCAGCGCCCCCUAGCCCCACCUCUGUUGGUUCCCAAAUUCCAAGUUCAGGUUGGAGGGGCCAGGUGGACUCCACAAUCCUAGCGAGGCGCUGGUAAAGCCUCACUCUGCCGGCCGACCCAGAGACCUGCGGGGCGCCGGCCUGACUCCCGGCCUGGGCCCGCCCUGUCCCAGGACUCGGCUUCUGGCCACCAGGGAAGGUGGCUCUUGGGGUCUCCCGCUCCCGGAAGGAGGCGGUGCCGGGGACGUCGGCACAGCUGGGCGAUAGAAACUCAUAUUUGCCCAGUUGGAGCUCGGGUUCCAUAUGAAGCUGAAGCUGCUCUUGAACUGAUCCUCCGGCCUUCCCUUCCUGUCAUGAUGAGCCCUUCAUUCAGGGCUUAUACCCCUGCCCCUCAUCUGGACCUCCCCGAUCUUGCCCAGUGCCCAGCUCCUGGGCCAUCCACCCAGAAACAUUCACUGAAGCCCUCCUGUGAACCUGGCCAGCACCUGAGACAGUCAUGCAAGGAACACAGAGACUGGAAGUUAUGAUCUGAGUCCUCAGGAAUCUCAUGCCAGCCAGAUGUACAGACAGGAGGAACGACACAUAUGGGAGUCAGUACUCUGGUGGGUGGCACUGAUGUGACAGGUGAUGGGGAACAGAAGACACAGGUUGCUACUGUUCUUUGUGAAGCAGUCAGCGCUCGCUCGGCACUGGUUGAUUUCAUUGGAGGUGAGGGGGCAGUGAGAUAGAAGGAAAAUGGCCUGGGAGAAGAAGCCUUGAGUUCUAGUCCCAGGUUCACAAUUCUAGUUGUGUAACUUGGUAAUUCCUUAAGUCACACAAGCUUCACUUUUCUCAUUUACCCCUUCCUUGUAAAUUCGUGGUGGUAACCAUUGAGAUAAUAUAG